GCCGGCACUGGUUACGCACACGGCCGAUCAGUAAGUGAACAGGAAUGUUUAAAAACACCCACUCGAACAAGGGGGACAAUUCUGACAUUUUUUUAGUGCAGAAUUCAGUGACGCAGUUUUGAAAAGCUACCUCUAAGGUGCACCACUGGAAGUUCAGAUUUCUCAGUCUGAACGUUUUCUGAGGUCCGAGGACCACGCGGAAUGAGGCUCCCGUGGUUUUAACCGUGCAAAUGUGCCGGUUAACCUGGUUGUCGUCCUAACUUCAGACUCUGGGCACACGGACACUGUUAAAUGCUUUUCACUGUCGUAUCUCUUCCUGCUUUAUUAUUGACACACGAAGCAGGAGCGGAUGUGAGUGUUGACCGUGGAGCCUGGCGGGGCUGGCAACCUGGCAACACUGGACCAACCCCCACCAACGAUCCGGCUUGUGCAAUUUAACCCAGCUGCCCUGCCCACCCCCUGCCCCGUUUUCUCCUCCAAACAAGUCCACGCUGUUAAGGCUCUAACACCAGUGACAGGUUCUGUGCUGAAUACCCAGGUCACAGCGAGUGCUCCAGGCCGGUGAUUUGCAUGGGAGAGCAUGGACUCCUCCGUUCACGGAACCUCCCUUGUGGCACAUGGAUCUUCAGGAAAGCUGGCACGCAUCCACACGGUGCAGCUCGGGGACACAUCAGAUGCACCCCAGCCCUCCCACACUUGAGAACAAGAUGGGCCGCCCAGCAACACAGCACAACAAACAAAAGCGCAUCCUCAGCCCUCCUUCCCUGGCUGGUGCAGGGUGUAAACGCACAGAGGCCAUCGCCCCUGCUGCACAUGACCACCUGCCUGGUCCGCCCCCGUCAGAACCUUCCCACGUGUAAAGUGCAUCGUUUGGAAGAAACGAGACUCAGACUCAAAACGUGCAUCCUUCUGUCCCAUAAACCGCCUGCUCCUGCAACAGUUCCCAGCAUCCACUGGGAAAAUGCCUCGCCAUGAACCGCGGGCUCCAGGACGGCCGAGCCGGUGAGGACACGGUGAGUCCCAGCUCCGCCCCACCCGGCCUCCCCAGAGUGCGAGCUUGCUGAGGUCCCCACUGUAUUCUAAAGAGGCAGAAAACUGAAAAUUGGAAUGUGUCAAUAAUAGUCAAGGACAUACACUAAGAAUACAAUAAAGAGAGAAAGUUCCACAUUUGUUCCCUCAGACACACCAAACAUGAGCACAAAUACUCAUACUAAAAUGUAACUUUUUAGCAAA